rnacentral:tRNA from 1 species
GGGCCGUUAGCUCAGUUGGUAGAGCACCGGACUUUUAAUCCGGGUGUCGAGGGUUCGAAUCCCCCACGGCUCACAA